rnacentral:lncRNA from 1 species
CAACCCUGACUUUGGCAGCAAUAAAGUGUUUGUGAUAUUUAUUGUGGCAAUAAAUAUUCUGUCCUGCUUUUCAGAAAACAUUUUUUUUCUUUUUCCUACUGUAAGAGUUAGAAAGCAUUCUUAAGCCUUUUUUUAAUCAUUACAUGUGUACAUGUGACUAAGUUCUGGCCAAUGGGACAUAAAUAAAAUUAUGUAAAGGCGUGGCCUUUAAAAAGCAUCUCCCUCACGUUGUUCCUGUUCUUCCUCUAACUGCCCAGAUAUUGGGGUAACAACUGAAACUCUUGGAUCUCACAGAAAUCUCCUCUACCCUGUCCUCCAUUCCUGCGCCUUGGGAAAUUACAUCAAGUAUUACCCAUUCAAUUCCAAUCUCACCCUUUGUCUUGUCUUUCAACUGCUUAUACAAUACUUUCCUUCACUUCUUUAUCCAGUAAAUUGAUUUCUCACUUUAAACAACUGGAUUGCAUUAAAGCCUUCUUAUGUCAUAUACACUUAGGAAAAUCUUUG